rnacentral:rRNA from 1 species
CCUACGGGAGGCUGCAGUGGGGAAUAUUGGGCAAUGGGCGCAAGCCUGACCCAGCAACGCCGCGUGAAGGAAGAAGGCUUUCGGGUUGUAAACUUCUUUUAAGAGAGAAGUGCAGAAGACGGUACCUCUUGAUUAAGCCACGUCUAACUACGUACCAGCAGCCGCGGUAAUACGUAGGAGGCAAGCGUUGUCCGGAUUUACUGGGUGAAAAGGGCGUGCAGCCGGGAAGACAAGUCAGGUGUGAAAUCCCGCGGCUCAACCGCGGAACUGCAAUUGAAACUGUCUUUCUUGAGUACCGUAGAGGUAAGCGGAAUUCCUUGUGUAGCGGUGAAAUGCGUAGAUAUAAGGAAGAACACCAGUGGCGAAGGCAGAUGACUGGACGGCAACUGACGGUGAGGCGCGAAAGCGUGGGGAGCAAACAGGAUUAGAUACCCGUGUAGUC